GACGAACGCUGGCGGCGCGCCUAACACAUGCAAGUCGAACGGAGUUGUGUUGAAAGCUUGCUGGAUAUACAACUUAGUGGCGGACGGGUGAGUAACACGUGAGUAACCUGCCUCUCAGAGUGGAAUAACGUUUGGAAACGAACGCUAAUACCGCAUAAUGCUUUUGAGCGGCAUCGCUUGAAAGCCAAAGAUUUAUCGCUGAAAGAUGGCCUCGCGUCCGAUUAGCUGGUUGGUGAGGUAACGGCCCACCAAGGCAACGAUCGGUAGCCGGACUGAGAGGUUGAACGGCCACAUUGGGACUGAGACACGGCCCAG
rnacentral:rRNA from 1 species